rnacentral:rRNA from 1 species
GGGUGCGAUCAUACCAGCACUAAUGCACCGGAUCCCAUCAGAACUCCGAAGUUAAACGUGCUUGGGCGAGAAUAGAACUAAGAUGGGUGACCUCUUGGGAAGUUCUCGUGUUGCACCCCAGG